UACAGAGGCCCCAAGCGUUACUGAGAAUCACUGGGUUUAAAGGGUGCGUAGGUGGCGCGUUAAGUCCGUUGUGAAAUCCCUGGGCUCAACCCAGGAACGGCUUCGGAUACUGGCGUGCUUGAGGCGAGUAGGGGUCACUGGAACUGACGGUGGAGCGGUGAAAUGCGUAGAUAUCGUCAAGAACACCGAUAGCGAAGGCAGCUUACCAAGCAGUAACUGACGCUGAGGCACGAAAGUGCGGGGAUCAAACAGG
rnacentral:rRNA from 1 species